rnacentral:rRNA from 1 species
UACGUAGGGGGCAAGCGUUGUCCGGAAUUAUUGGGCGUAAAGAGCGUGUAGGCGGUCCGGUAAGUCAGCUGUGAAAGUCAGGGGCUCAACCCUUGAAUGCCGGUUGAUACUGUCGGGCUAGAGUCCGGAAGAGGCGAGUGGAAUUCCCGGUGUAGCGGUGAAAUGCGCAGAUAUCGGGAGGAACACCAAUGGCGAAGGCAGCUCGCUGGGACGUUACUGACGCUGAGACGCGAAAGCGUGGGGAGCAAACAGG